rnacentral:rRNA from 1 species
UACAGAGGGGGCGAGCGUUGUUCGGAAUUCCUGGGCGUAAAGGGCGCGUAGGCGGCCUUCUAAGUCGAACGUGAAAUCCCCGGGCUCAACCCGGGAACUGCGUCCGAUACUGGGAGGCUUGAAUCCGGGAGAGGGAUGUGGAAUUCCAGGUGUAGCGGUGAAAUGCGUAGAUAUCUGGAGGAACACCGGUGGCGAAGGCGGCAUCCUGGACCGGUAUUGACGCUGAGGCGCGAAAGCCAGGGGAGCAAACGGG